GAUGAACGCUGGCGGCGUGCCUAAUACAUGCAAGUCGAGCGAACGGACGAGAAGCUUGCUUCUCUGAUGUUAGCGGCGGACGGGUGAGUAACACGUGGAUAACCUACCUAUAAGACUGGGAUAACUUCGGGAAACCGGAGCUAAUACCGGAUCAUAUUUUGAACCGCAUGGUUCAAAAGUGAAAGACGGUUUUGCUGUCACUUAUAGAUGGAUCUGCGCUGCAUUAGCUAGUUGGUAAGGUAACGGCUUACCAAGGCAACGAUGCAUAGCCGACCUGAGAGGGUGAUCGGCCACACUGGAACUGAGACACGGUCCAGACUCCUACGGGAGGCAGCAGUAGGGAAUCUUCCGCAAUGGGCGAAAGCCUGACGGAGCAACGCCGCGUGAGUGAUGAAGGUCUUCGGAUCGUAAAACUCUGUUAUUAGGGAAGAACAUAUGUGUAAGUAACUGUGCACAUCUUGACGGUACCUAAUCAGAAAGCCACGGCUAACUACGUG
rnacentral:rRNA from 1 species